CGUUGGACUAUGUCCUUAAGUAUCCCCAAAAUAGGGACUGACCUAAAGCUAAAACUGAAUAUCAGGCUGGGAAAAUAAAUAAAGCACUAAGGACCACUCUUGGAUCCUUCUACUUUCCUGACUUUUAGACAAUCAAACAACUAAUGCUCAAAAACUAUUUAACAAAAUAAUUUUGUUGGGGCAGAGAGGGCUUGCUGCUAGCUUCCCUACUGAUUAAUAGACAAAAUUCAAGAAAACCAACCGAUACGGCUAGUUUACAGCACAAUCAGUCCUUUUAUGGCCUGGCACCUGAAAGCCUGUCUGGGAAGAAUAUAAAGGUUGAAUUUUAAAAUCUCCCUUUCACUCUUUAAGUGGGGAUCUGAUCACCUAUCUUAGGACAUGUCUCUCUCAUGUCCCUACAUUUUCAUUCUCACUAUUUUUCAGUUUGUGGAUUUGACAUAAUGUCAUUAAUUGUUAUCCCAUGCUUUGUAUAACUUAAAAUGUUAAACAUUUGCCAAGUUUAUACUGGAUUUGCCAACAUUUCUAUACUGUAUAAAUGCUUUUGGACCUAG